rnacentral:lncRNA from 1 species
ACGGCCACAGUAGGUAACACGGCCAAUUACCCCAGACCGUGUUCCCAACACGGCCAGGAACACGGCCAUGUUGGCGGACAGGGGGAAAAACGCUAUAAAUACCCCUUCCUUGUACCAUUUGUAAGGUGUGUGAUAUAUGAAAGAAGAGAGCUUGUAGAGAGAGAAAGUGUGCUCAUUGUAAGUAGCUUUAGUGUGAAUUAAUCAAUACAAG